rnacentral:rRNA from 1 species
GAUGAACGCUGGCGGCGUGCCUAAUACAUGCAAGUCGAGCGAACGGACGAGAAGCUUGCUUCUCUGAUGUUAGCGGCGGACGGGUGAGUAACACGUGGAUAACCUACCUAUAAGACUGGGAUAACUUCGGGAGACCGGAGCUAAUACCGGAUAAUAUUUUGAACCGCAUGGUUCAAAAGUGAAAGACGGUCUUGCUGUCACUUAUAGAUGGAUCCGCGCUGCAUUAACUAGUUGGUAAGGUAACGGCUUACCAAGGCAACGAUGCAUAGCCGACCUGAGAGGGUGAUCGGCCACACUGGAACUGAGACACGGUCCAGACUCCUACGGGAGGCAGCAGUAGGGAAUCUUCCGCAAUGGGCGAAAGCCUGACGGAGCAACGCCGCGUGAGUGAUGAAGGUCUUCGGAUCGUAAAACUCUGUUAUUAGGGAAGAACAUAUGUGUAAGUAACUGUGCACAUCUUGACGGUACCUAAUCAGAAAGCCACGGCUAACUACGUGCCAGCAGCCGCGGUAAUACGUAGGUGGCAAGCGUUAUCCGGAAUUAUUGGGCGUAAAGCGCGCGUAGGCGGUUUUUUAAGUCUGAUGUGAAAGCCCACGGCUCAACCGUGGAGGGUCAUUGGAAACUGGAAAACUUGAGUGCAGAAGAGGAAAGUGGAAUUCCAUGUGUAGCGGUGAAAUGCGCAGAGAUAUGGAGGAACACCAGUGGCGAAGGCGACUUUCUGGUCUGUAACUGACGCUGAUGUGCGAAAGCGUGGGGAUCAAACAGGAUUAGAUACCCUGGUAGUCCACGCCGUAAACGAUGAGUGCUAAGUGUUAGGGGGUUUCCGCCCCUUAGUGCUGCAGCUAACGCAUUAAGCACUCCGCCUGGGGAGUACGACCGCAAGGUUGAAACUCAAAGGAAUUGACGGGGACCCGCACAAGCGGUGGAGCAUGUGGUUUAAUUCGAAGCAACGCGAAGAACCUUACCAAAUCUUGACAUCCUUUGACAACUCUAGAGAUAGAGCCUUCCCCUUCGGGGGGCAAAGUGACAGGUGGUGCAUGGUUGUCGUCAGCUCGUGUCGUGAGAUGUUGGGUUAAGUCCCGCAACGAGCGCAACCCUUAAGCUUAGUUGCCAUCAUUAAGUUGGGCACUCUAAGUUGACUGCCGGUGACAAACCGGAGGAAGGUGGGGAUGACGUCAAAUCAUCAUGCCCCUUAUGAUUUGGGCUACACACGUGCUACAAUGGGCAAUACAAAGGGCAGCGAGACCGCGAGGUCAAGCAAAUCCCAUAAAGUUGUUCUCAGUUCGGAUUGUAGUCUGCAACUCGACUACAUGAAGCUGGAAUCGCUAGUAAUCGUAGAUCAGCAUGCUACGGUGAAUACGUUCCCGGGUCU